UACGGGGGGGGCAAGCGUUGUCCGGAUUUACUGGGCGUAAAGAGCGCGCAGGCGGUCGUUCAAGUCGGAUGUGAAAGCCCACGGCUCAACCGUGGAAGUGCAUCCGAAACUGCAUGGCUGGAGUCUCGGAGAGGAAGGUGGAAUGCUUGGUGUAGAGGUGAAAUUCGUAGAUAUCAAGCAGAACACCUGCGGCGAAGCGGCCUUCUGGACGAUGACUGACGCUGAGACGCGAAAGCGUGGGGAGCAAACAGG
rnacentral:rRNA from 1 species